AACUAACGCUGGCGGCGUGCCUAAUACAUGCAAGUCGAACGAGAAGGUCCGCAAGGAUGAGUACAGUGGCGCACGGGUGAGUAACACGUGGAUAAUCUGCCUUAAGGUGGGGAAUAACUCCUCGAAAGAGGAGCUAAUACCGCAUAAGACCACAGACACUUCGGUGUUCGGGGUUAAAAGUGACCUCUAUUUAUAAGUUAUUGCCUUAAGAUGAGUCCGCGUCCCAUUAGCUAGUUGGCAGGGUAAUGGCCUACCAAGGCAACGAUGGGUAGCUGGUCUGAGAGGAUGAUCAGCCACACUGGAACUGAGACACGGUCCAGACUCCUACGGGAGGCAGCAGUAGGGAAUAUUGCACAAUGGGGGAAACCCUGAUGCAGCAACGCCGCGUGAGUGAUGAAGGCCUCGGUGUAAGCCUGUGGGAGGAGAAUGAGCCAUGGCUAAUAUCCAUGGUGAUGACGGUA
rnacentral:rRNA from 1 species